rnacentral:tRNA from 1 species
AUUUAUGUAGUUUAAUAAAAACAUUACACUUUCAUUGUAAAAAUAAAGAAAACUUUCAUAAAUA